rnacentral:lncRNA from 1 species
GCGCGUCGCCCAGUUCCGCGCUCUGGACCCGGUAGCCUGACCCGCCGCCGCUUCCCCGCACUGGAGCCCCGCCCGGCGUGGCUGUUCGUGGGGGAGGGCCCUGAAGGAGGCGGUGCUGACCCUCGGGGGACUGGGCCGGGCGAAAGGCGUGACUUCCCCCUCGGGGAGAAUUGGAAAAUAGAGGGAAAGUGGAGGAAACACCCACAGUUGCACCACCUGAACAUAAGUUUCCACGUGUGUUCAUUCCCUUCAGUACGUGGGCCUCUCACCGUUGUGGCCUCUCCCGUUGCGGAGCACAGGCUCUGGACGCACAGGCUCAGCGGCCAUGGCUCACGGGCCCAGCCGCUCCGCGGCAUGUGGGAUCUUCCCGGACCGGGGCAUGAACCCGUGUCCCCUGCAUCGGCAGGAGGACUCUCAACCGCUGCACCACCAGGGAAGUGCCCAUUUCUUAAUUGGGUUAUUUGUCUAUUUUAAGUUGUAAGUGUUCUUUAUAUAUUGCAGCUGAAAUUCCUUAUCAGAUAUAUGAUCUGCAAAUGUUUCCUCCCAUUCAGUGGGUGGGGGGAAUUAUAGCUUAUCAAAAUGGAGAAAAUGGGAAGUAUGAUAUUCUUGCAGAUGAGCUGGACCUGUUUCUGAAACUGUCUUAAAAUCUCAGCACAUUUGACAUUUGGUUUCAGGGUAGUAUAAACUCCUCAGAGACCACAUCCUUUGGUAAGCAACAGAGAAUAGAGGAUGGAUAGGAAAAAAGCUGUGAAUACAAGAGGUGAUGGAGCAGUUGUGAGGUCGACUUGCAGGGGUUGUAUCUGAUAUUACUGAAAACAAAGGUAUUCAGGAGUGGAUACAGUGUGUGCCAGACACUGGGAUGUAUAUGAUUAUUUACUAGUUAUGCAUCCUUAGAUGAGCUAUUUACUUUUGGGGAGUAUGUUUCUGUUUUUUAUAUAAAUUUAUUUUAUUAUUUAGUUAUUUAUUUAGGCUGCGUUGGGUCUUUUGUUGCUGCGCACAGGCUUUCUCUAGUUGUGGUGAGUGGGGCCUACUCUUCGUUGUGGUGCACGGGCUUCUCAUUGUGAUGGCUUCUCUUGAUGCAGAGCACAGGCUCUAGGCACGCGGGCUUCAGUAGUUGUGGUGCAUGGGCUUAGUUGCUCCGCAGCAUGUGGGAUCUUCCCGGACCAGGGCUCGCACCCCUGUCCCCUGCAUUGGCAGGCGGAUUCUUAACCACCAGGGAAGCCCGGGAGUAUGUUUCUUUAUAUAUAAAAUGGGGAUCGAUGUUAUUGUGUCAAAUAUGAUAUCGCCUUUAUGAUAUUAAUAACAACAGCUAAUAAUAUGCUGCUAAAAGCUUUAUAGACUUCCUUUCACUUGGUCUCAUGUGAACCUAGGUGGG